AACGCCAGAUCCUUAACACACUGAGCGAGGCCAGGGAUGGAAAUUGUGUCCUCAUGGAUGCUAGUCAGAUUCGUUUCUGCUGAGCCACAAUGGGAACUCCCAGAAAAUACUAUUAAUGCUAGCUUUGGCAGCAUAAUGCCUUGGAGCAAGCACCAUGUGCGACGUCAGAAAAGUUGGUUCUGAACCGCCCCCCUGCCCCGUGCUUCUUAUUUAUGAACAGCAUCUCUGAGAUUCACUUUCUCCAAAAGGGCUCAAUAUUUUUGGCUUUGCGGGCUGUACAGUGUCUACAGCAACUGCUCAACUCUGCCACUGUCUAGUGAAACUCAGACAAGAUGCAAAUGGGUCUAUGUGGCUGUGUACCAAUAAAACUUUAUUCACACAACCAGGUGAUGGGCUGGGUUUGGCCCACAGACCCUAGUUUGUUGGCUCCUGGACUUACAUUCUGAUGACUUAUUCUGGCUUUCAUUAAAACAGAAGAGCUCAUUUGUAGGGCUCUGUCAUUGUUUUUUAAAUAUCCAGGACCCAUGGUCUGUAGCUGCACAAAAAGGGUAGUUAACAGAGAAUGGACAUUAAAAAAAUGUCAACUGAUAAGAACUUUCUUGGACCUGCUCUCUCUAACCUCACCCAGUAAUGUAAGCACUGGAAAAAAGAGCUUUGGUUUCCAUUGAACAGUUAUGGAACAAUCCUUUGGUGUGUUUUUAAACUCUGGCCUUUGCUUCCCUGUUGCACUAGGACUGGCCACAACAGCACUGUCCGUAGUCUGGCCUGUGAUGCCAGGGGUCAGUGAGGAGCCUAUUCUUAUUCUCAACCCGGGCAUUCAGCUCCCAGAUACACAGCCUGGCAUCUUGGCAGGUACUGUAGUGGGAGCUAUGGGCUCAGGAAAGAGCUGGUAUGUCUUUGAUCUGUUCCCUUUUGACCCAUAGAAAAUCCUCUUUGAGUCCAUUUAUUAGACCUUGGUGAUCGGUGUGUUAUUGUCUGUCACCAUCAAUUAUGCAGUUGGUGGGUUGACUGAACCCAUGUGUCAAAUGGUAAGUGCUUGCAAAGGAUGGGAGAUCUGGGGAUGGCCCUUCAACUCUCCUUAAACCAGGGUGAAAAUUGGUGGUUCUCAGCUCUACACAGGACUGGAAGUGGCUCUCAAAUAAUCAGCCCAGAUCCUAUUCAGGACUGUUCUGAUUAGGCGAGUGUAUCAGUAAGCUUUUGGUGAGUAACAAACUAUCCCCAAACUUCAUAGUUUCUCUCUAGCCUGCCAACAGUUCUUCUGAGCUAAGCCAAGUUCAUUACCCUGGGUUCUUGGAUGUGCCUUUCAUUCCUCAACAGGCUAGCUUGGGAUCAUCCCCAUGGUGGUCUCUGGGUUCCAAGUGCAGCAAGGCAGCAAGAGGUCAAGCCCUGAUGGACAAGUGCCUUUCACAUCGCUGUAUUACAUUGGCUUAUGUCCAUUGGCCAAAGCAGGUCACGUGGCAAGCUCCAUCGAAAGCUGGACAAUAGACUCCACCUCUGGAUGGAGGAUUUGCAGUGCCAUGUUGUAAGGAUGUGAUGCAGGGAGAUGGACAGUCUGUGGCAGUUUUUACAACCUCCCACUGCAAGCAAGACCCUUAGCUCCCUUUUCUUUUCCCUUUCUAGUAUGUAUCGUCUAUAUUAGCAGGCUGUCAACAGCCCUUCACUUAGGGUGCACACAACUGUUUGAAGGGUGGUCUUCCCCCCACCACUGGCCUUCUGCCUAUGAUGCCCACCAGUCUGUUACCCCAGCUUUCCUUCUGGUCAGCUCCUCACCCUCUGGCAUGCUAACCCCUAUUUUUCAAAUCCCCAAAUUAAAAAUUUGAAUUCUAUCAUCUCUUCUCCCUGGCCUGGCCCAUCUAAGGACCUCCCGGCCUCUGACUUAUUCAGGGGUAUCAGUGGAACCCCACUACCCAAACCUCCCUCCCCACUUUCCAAAGGCUGGCUAAUUGGAAAUGGAUGGAUUCAGUUAGCAACCAUCCUUGAAAAAAGAGUGGUCAUUAUGAAAAUGUGUCACUCCCCCUGCAAGCCAGCUGCAUUGGCGGCCCCUUUUCUAUUAUAUACAAAAUUCUGAGUCCCCCUCCCCAAGCACCAUAACUGCCUGCAGAUUUCACAAAUAGCACUGCCUUUUCCUGGCACCGUGAUAAAGACUCCACAGCUUUGGGACAUGUAAUUGGUCUCUGAAGUGUUUUGGUAUUUUGUUUGAAGAAGCCAGAUGAGCCCCAAAGAAGUGGCACUUAUCCCAUAUUAUCAUGUCAUUAUAUAUUUGUCUUAGGGAGGGGUUGGGUGCCCUCCUCUCUCCCAUUCAGCACCAGCCACUUGUUGGCCACCCAGGUUUCUUAUCUGAACGUUCAGUUUGAAACCAAAUAUUUGAGUAAUUUGAUUAAUCACUCGCAUUCGUGCAAUUGGCUGGCAAAGGUUGAUGGUUGGAUGGUAGCCAACCAAAUGGAACGGUUUCUGGACCCUAGAUUUAUUUUACAGGGAACAUAAGACCAGAUAAUUACCUGGCAUAUUCCGGAUAAAUUCACAAUGGCAUGUUCUAGCCAAUUACUUAGUAAUUAUCAUUGAAGUUAACAAGUAUUUCUAAGAUUAGCUUCCCCAUAAUGUGAUGUGUAUGGCCCUUGGGGAAUGAGUAAUAACCAACUAGUUACCCAAUUGCUAGAUCCACAAAUGCAAUUAGCAGCAAGAUUGCUAAAUCAUUUCAUGAUUGGGUCAUUAUGAGACUAUUGCACAGCUAUCGACAGUCUGCACAAUCGCUCAUUUUUUAAAACUCCGGAUGGAAUUUGAAAGCCAAUAAAGAGAGAGUUGAAUGAAAAGCAUCUCUUGCCCUUCUGCCUUGCAGCAGAGUUCCUUAGACCUCAGUUUCCCCAUCUGUGAAAUGAGGAGGUAGAAACAGAUGUUUGUUGCAGGGUCCUUCCAACUCUAGCAAAAUUCUUUGGUCCUCUGUGAAUGGGCAGUUUCAGAAGCAGCCUGGAACAGCUCUGGAGCAGUGCUUCCCAAAAUAUGGUCCACCAGCACCUUCUGCAUCAGAGCCACCAAAGGGAGGAAGGUGGUAAAUGCAGACUCCUAGGUGCUACCUCCAUUAGCUUCCUAGGGCUGUUGGGACAAAUUGCCACAAACUUCAUGCCUCAUGAUGCCACACAUUCAUUCUCUUAUAGUUCUGGAUGUCAGAAGUCUGGUGUAGGUCUCUCUAGGCUAAAUGAAGGCAGGGCUGAAGUCAGAAGUCUGGUGUAGGUCUCUCUAGGCUAAAUGAAGGCAGGGCUGCUUUCUUCUCUGGAGGCUCUUGAGGAGAAUCUGUUUCCUCACCUUUCCCAGCUCCUAGAGCUGCAUCCCUCAAAGUCCUUGGCUUGUGGCCCCUUCCUCCAUCUUCAAAGCCAGCAUCACGGCAUCUUCCAUCAUCACUGGUUGCAUCUCCAUCUUAUAAAGACUCUUGUGAUGACAUGUGCAACCCACCCAGAUGAUCCAAGAUCAUCUCCAGUUUCAAGAUGCUCAUGCACACUGUGGUCUGUGGAGUGACUGGCCAACAGGGACCUGCUGUAGAGCACAGGGAAUGCUACUUAAUAUUCUGUGAUGCUUUUCCAGGAAAAGAAUCUGGAAAAGAAUGGAUAUGUGUACCUGGAUAACUGAAUCACUUCGCUGUACAGCAGAAAUGAUCACAAUAUUGUAAAUCAACUCUACUUCAAUACAACUUUAAAAAAUGAAAACACAACAGAAAUCAAGAUGCUAAACUUAAUGACAUCUGCAAAGUCCCUAUUGCCAUAUAAAGUAACAGUCACAGUUUCUAUCAAUUAGGAGCUGAAUAUUUUUAGGGGCCAUUUUUCGGUCUACCACAUUACCCUCAAUCUGUGAAUCAAGUCUCUUUGUCUGUCAGUGAAGCCUUUUCAACCAGGCUUCCCAACCCAUUCUAAUACAACAAAUAUUUGGGAACCCUUCCCUAGAGAAUAUCACCAUGGAGUACUAUGAUGUGCCCAGCAUUGAUGCCAGAUGUGUCCUGCUAGCACAAAGGGAAAUGGAAACAGGGAAGUUUUCCCAGGAAAAUAGACGAGGCAGAAUUACAAAGUAUUGGGAUCUCAAUGGAGAAAAUUUGUUAUUUAUCUGGUGACAGGCGUAUGGGCCAACCAACCUUAGUUCGGUGCCGUGGAGACAAAGACAAAGCAAAACCCUGAAGUUGAUGUCUCCAAGAAGGCUUCCCUGGAGGAGCCUGAUCCUGCUGAACCCAUCCCAGCCGUAGUACAGCUGCGGAAACUGAGACCAGGAGAGGAGAGAGGGCCAGGACAGGAGCACAGAUCUCCAUCAUGGGUACACCUAUUCCUCUGACAGCUUGAAAACCCCAUCAUUCAGUGCUUCCUCAUCCAUCCAUCCAUCCACCCACCCAACAGAUAUUUAGUAAACACUGACUAAAUGCCAGGCUUUUGCUGGUUGCUAGGGGACUGUGGUGAGCAAGUCAGACAUGGACCCAGUUCAGAGUGCUGUCAUUUUAGCAGGGGAGACAGAGCAGUACUAUAGACAUAAUGAGAUAAGUAGGUCCCAGGGUUUUGAAGGAAAAAAAGAAGAGAUAUACUAUAGAAGGAUUGGGUGUUGGGGCUAUUUUAAGGGUGUGGGGGUCCAGGCAACAUCUCUGAAGAAGGGAUAUUUGAGCAGGGACCUGAAUGCUAGGAGGCAGCUUUGCAAACGUGGGGGCAGGACAUACCCAGCAGAGGAAACCGCAGAUGCAAAGGUCUGGGGAUAGAAAUGAGCCGGGAGGGUUUGAGGACCAGAAAGAAGACUGUGGUCCAGAGCAUGGUGGGUGAGGGUAAGAAGGUAGACAAUGAAGGUAGAAGUUGGCAGGAGCCAGGCUGGGGAGAGGAGGGGCUCUCAAGCUUGGGGGUGGAGAGGUGCUUUUAAAGGAAUACCAUACCUACCCCAGUCUCUCAACCGGGUGCUGUGACAUUUGGGGCUGGAUUCUUCAUUUAUGGGCCCAUCCUGAACUUUGUAGGAUGUUUACGGCUUUCCUGCGCCCAGCCUACUAGACACCAGUAGUACCAGGUCUCUAGCUGUGAUCACCAGAAGGUCUUCAGGUAUUGCCAGGUCCCCUGGGGCAAAGUUACCCCAGUUAAGAACUAUUGCCCUAGUGUCUUUAACUUAAUUAGUCUGGAUGGGGCUCGGACCUCAGUACCAAACCCACCCACACGACUCUCUCUGGCAGCUCUGUUGUAGGACCUAAAAGCCUGAUGAGAGGUCUGGAUUUUAUGUGAAGGGCUGCAGGCAGGGGCAGCAUCUCAUGCCUUUGAGGGCAAAAAUAGGGAAAUUUCCAAAAUGAAGGCCCAAGAGGAGUAUUUUGACAGCUGCAGAGGCAACAACACUUUUAGGAAGUGUCCAUUUAUCUGCCUUAACUUCCCAACAUGAUCAAAGAGCUGAUGGCUUCAGCAGCCUCAGCCUCCUCUCCUCCAGCCCAGCCCCCUGGUCUGUGCUGUGAAGACCACCCUACUGAGGUUGCUGUUUUCACAGUGGACAAGGGCCUGCACCAGUGGAGGGGAAGCUGCAGUUCCACCCUUGUCGCCACCAAGGAUGAGGCUCGGGAGGGAGAAGCUGCGUCAUUCUUCCAGAAAAGUUGAUGGUGAUGUUCCCAUUUCCUCCUCAGCAUCUGUUCCACCUCCCUCAGGCCAGGAGGACAUGGCAAAGACUGUGGUUCUGGCACAUGCUUCCUUUUCAUGCAGCUGAAGGGGGCACAGCUGAUCCUCAUUGUUGAAACUAUUUCCCUCAUGUUGAAACUAUUUCCCUGAUUGAGGGGCAUUUAUUUAAUGUCAGUAAAUGCAGACCCCUCCCUAAAUAACCCCCCACAAGCAACAGAUUCCAUCAGCCUUCAGCAAGUGCUUCAUUUCAGGCCAGGUGACAGUCAGUCUCCCGAUUAUCACUGUGUGCCCAUUUAAUGGAUGGGAAAACUGAGGUCGAUGAUUGGCUCUAGAUUAUCACUGUGCGCAUUUUACAGAUGGGAAAACUGAGCCCAAUGAGUCCAAAGGAGCCCUGCCUAGGUCAUAGAACACAGAUAAAAACUGGCAGAAUCUGGAAUUGAGUGAAUGUCCAUCUGAACAUUAGUCUAGCAUGUUCCUUCUUUGCUGGGGCUGCCUUGGCCUGGUGGAGGGGGCUGGGCUCAAAUUGUGAGCAAUAGCCUAUUGGGGGAGUUGGCCACCUUGAAUUUUAUCCAAAUCAGCUGGAGCACUUGGUAACAUACAAGGUCCAGGCCCCAUCUCAUGCCAACAAGGCAAGGCCCUGACAUUUUUAUUAGGUUCUAGAGGAUUUGGUAACCACAGUUGAGUACCACUCUCUUACUAAACUGAGUUUCAUUUUUUUAGAGCUUUAAUUCUCUAUUUAUGUGUUUCUGAAAUGCCCUGUAAAUUCCAGUGGGGCCAGUGCACAAGUGUGGUGCUGUCUCUCUCUCUCAAACACACACCCACACCUUCCAUAUACACCCUAAGUGAUACACCAACUCUCUCCUUUUCUCUGUCAUUUUUGUCCUCUCUCCCACACACCCUCUCUCAUUCAUACAAACACAUGCUUUCUUAUCCUCUUUCCCUGCAAAAGACUCAUUUAAUUAAUAUAGCAGCUCACAAAGGUUGGGGAGCCCAGAAAUUCCUACCCCUCAAAUGAUUAUCUAGAAUCCCCAAGUUCUUUAAAUCCAUGUUUCAUAGCGUGGACCUCUGACUAGCAUCACCUGCACCCCUAAUGAGCAUCACCUGGGAACUUGUUAAAAAUGCAAAUGAUUGUCCCCUCCCCACCAAUCAGAGGUUAGGGGAGUGGGCCCAACUAUUAGUGGUUUAAGAAGCCUCCCCAGAAGGUUCUGAUGUGCGCUCAAGCUCUGACCGCUGCUUUGAAGAAACCUGUUUCUGUUUCCUAUGCUGAGUGGGCAGAAAUUCUACUGCCUAGAGCUUCCUGCAGAACCCGAAACCUCCUUGCCCCUCACUCAAUGAUCCUUCCAGGUGCCACUAAGAGGCCUGUGAGGUAGAUUCUGCCUUGUCCACCUGCAUUUCUCUUACGAGGUUCGCCCCAGAGGCUAUAAUAUAAUUUAGGCCUGGAUCUGGAGUCUGGUUCUGUCUGCCUCCAAAUUAUGAGCUCUUACCUGCUGGGCGCUACUACCUCCCCAAGGAGUUCUCUCCUCUCCACUCUCUGUAUCUGUUUCAACUUCUGAAAGGAAUGAUUACUCCCAGUGCUCUCCUGGCUCUGGAUUUUUCUCCACGCCUCUCCAGGUGGCUCUGUGGCUGCAAACCCAAGCUUUAGCCUCAGGCAGGUCUGGGUUCGAGCCAGGCUGUGCCAGUUGAAGCAUGACCUUGGGAAAUUCCAUCCCCCUCCUGCAUUUUGGUUUCUCUGUCUCUUCCAUGAAGGAUGUGGACCUGAUGAUCGCUAACACCUGUCUACCACCUGAAUUCUAGAAAUGUCUGUGCAUGUUCUCUUACAGCAGGACCAGGGAGAGAAAGUUCCAUUGAGAUUCGCAGAUAUGGGAUUUCCUCAUUAGGGAUUGAAUUUUCUCAGGGGGAGAAGGUUGUAUGAGAACUUACAGGUGAGAGCUGAGAAGGUAACUGGCUGUGCACCCUGAAUGGGCUGUAAAGCCUGUGCAGAGGACAGAAAGAGCACAACACUGCCUCCUGCCACAGCCAGAGCACUUCCCCAGCAAGACCAGGCUGCUGGAAGGAUGAACUCAAUUCCAGCUCUACUUUCUCAUUUCAGUUUGUCACCAGUUCAGUAUUUUUCAAACUGUCUAUAGAAUAAACCUGUCUGGUUUCAUUUCA